ACCCCCAGCAAUGGACAAAGAGACACCUUGUUGGUGGUGGUGUUCUUACAUCAGUCAGGGGCAGAGCAGAUGGCAGUCCUUGGCUCAUCCUAGCUUGACUCCUAGAUAGAUGAAUAAGGUUUUUUGUGUUUAGGAUUCAUAA